rnacentral:rRNA from 1 species
GGCUCAGGACGAACGCUGGCGGCGUGCUUAACACAUGCAAGUCACGGGGGCCCGCAAGGGCAACCGGCGAACGGGUGCGUAACACGUGAGCGACCUGCCUGAGUGCGGGGGAUAGCCGGCCCAACGGCCGGGUAAUACCGCAUACGCUUUUUCGAGGGCAUCCUUGGGAAAGGAAACCUCCGGGGCACUCAGAGGGGCUCGCGGCCUAUCAGCUUGUUGGCGGGGUAAUGGCCCACCAAGGCGACGACGGGUAGCUGGUCUGAGAGGAUGGCCAGCCACAUUGGGACUGAGAGACGGCCCAGACUCCUACGGGAGGCAGCAGUGGGGAAUCUUGCGCAAUGGCCGAAAGGCUGACGCAGCGACGCCGCGUGUGGGAGGAAGCUCUUCGGGGUGUAAACCACUGUUGCCCGGGACGAACGAGCAGCUUUUGCUGCUGUGACGGUACCGGGUGAGGAAGCACCGGCUAACUCUGUGCCAGCAGCCGCGGUAAUACAGAGGGUGCGAGCGUUGUCCGGAAUCACUGGGCGUAAAGGGCGCGUAGGCGGCUUGAUAAGCGCGCGGUGAAAGCCCGGGGCUCAACCCCGGGUCGGCCGUGCGAACUGUCGAGCUGGAGCACUGUAGAGGCAGGUGGAAUUCCGGGUGUAGCGGUGGAAUGCGUAGAGAUCCGGAAGAACACCGGUGGCGAAGGCGGCCUGCUGGGCAGUGGCUGACGCUGAGGCGCGACAGCGUGGGGAGCAAACAGGAUUAGAUACCCUGGUAGUCCACGCCGUAAACGAUGGGCACUAGGUGCUUGGGGGAGCGACCCUCCGAGUGCCGGCGCUAACGCAUUAAGUGCCCCGCCUGGGGAGUACGGCCGCAAGGCUGAAACUCAAAG